AAACUACGGCUUGAAUCCCUGAGAAACGGAGGCGCGUGGUUUCUGCACCCUGGUUGGAAAGGCCCGAGGAUGAGAAAGGUGUCCACGUCGCAGAAAGGAAGGAUUUCCGCCGGUUUGACUUAACAGUUGGCGGGAGCCGUUCCAAAAUCCUCCCAGAAAGUUGCUGCGGUGGCAUCUAGGGUCAGGGAGGGGAGAGCAAGGAAGGGCGGUGUGAGCAUGCGCAAUAGCCACGUUUUUACCUUCUCGAUUCCAGUUCCUGGAUAGGAUGGAGUGGGUGUACACACUGGCUGUUCUUGGUAAACCAGACCCCAAAUUCCAGGUGUGGACUGCCUAAAGCUGCGCAUUGAAGCGGCUGACCAGAUUUUGCGGAAUUAAUAGAAGACUUUUUGUCUUGUGAUUAAGAGUCAGGUAGACCUGGAUUCAAUUCUUACCCUCUGUCACAUACUACCUGUGUCGCCUUUCAUGUAUUAACCUCGAAACCAAGUUUCCAAAUUUUACUUAACUCAGUUGUAAGGUAAAACGCUUAGCGUCACUUCUUGGCACACGGUAUUCCUCUUAAUACACCAUAGGUCACACAUUUCAAAAGCAACUACAGUAGUGCUUCACUUAAGAUGGGGAUAUGUUCUUAGGAAUGUGUCCUUAGGUUAAUCAUCCCUUAGGGAACAUCCUAGAGUGUAUUUAAACACAAACCUAGAUAGUAUAGCCUACUACACACCCAGGCUAUAUGAUGUAGCCUAUUGCUCUUAGGCUGUAAACCUGUACAGCAUGUUGCCAUUCUGGAUACGGUAGGCGAUUAUAACACAGUGGUAACUAUUUGUGUACUUAAACAUAUCUAAACAUAGAAAAGGUACAGUCAUAUACUCUUAUAGGAUCACCAUAGUUUAUGCGAUCCAUUCAUUGCUGAAGCCUUGUUAUUUGGCACAUAACUGUACUUUAAAAGGUGUAUUUAUUUGAAAACUGGUAGUGUCCUCACACGUGACAUUUCAGAAAAUCAAAAUUGUGAAUUCAUAUAUUUACAAAUAUAUUGAAUGCAGAGCUCUGUUGCGACAUUGAAGACACAAAAAUGAAUGAGACAUGACCCUUACUCAAGAUAGGCUAGUGAGGCUACUACCCCUCAACUAUAACUUUAACUUGAAUUUUUCAGUGCCUUUAAAAGUAUCCAGCAACUCCUCUCUUUACAUUCUGCCUACUUCCAGUUCAAGGGUAGACAGUCCUAGAAAGGGAAAGAGAAACCUGUGUGAUUAGAGUAGGCUGGUGGAAACUCCUGCAUUACCUAGAAGCAUAUUUA
rnacentral:lncRNA from 1 species